AAAUUGAAGAGUUUGAUCAUGGCUCAGAUUGAACGCUGGCGGCAGGCCUAACACAUGCAAGUCGAACGGUAACAGGAAGCAGCUUGCUGCUUUGCUGACGAGUGGCGGACGGGUGAGUAAUGUCUGGGAAACUGCCUGAUGGAGGGGGAUAACUACUGGAAACGGUAGCUAAUACCGCAUAACGUCGCAAGACCAAAGAGGGGGACCUUCGGGCCUCUUGCCAUCGGAUGUGCCCAGAUGGGAUUAGCUAGUAGGUGGGGUAACGGCUCACCUAGGCGACGAUCCCUAGCUGGUCUGAGAGGAUGACCAGCCACACUGGAACUGAGACACGGUCCAGACUCCUACGGGAGGCAGCAGUGGGGAAUAUUGCACAAUGGGCGCAAGCCUGAUGCAGCCAUGCCGCGUGUAUGAAGAAGGCCUUCGGGUUGUAAAGUACUUUCAGCGGGGAGGAAGGCGAUAAGGUUAAUAACCUUGCCGAUUGACGUUACCCGCAGAAGAAGCACCGGCUAACUCCGUGCCAGCAGCCGCGGUAAUACGGAGGGUGCAAGCGUUAAUCGGAAUUACUGGGCGUAAAGCGCACGCAGGCGGUCUGUCAAGUCGGAUGUGAAAUCCCCGGGCUCAACCUGGGAACUGCAUUCGAAACUGGCAGGCUAGAGUCUUGUAGAGGGGGGUAGAAUUCCAGGUGUAGCGGUGAAAUGCGUAGAGAUCUGGAGGAAUACCGGUGGCGAAGGCGGCCCCCUGGACAAAGACUGACGCUCAGGUGCGAAAGCGUGGGGAGCAAACAGGAUUAGAUACCCUGGUAGUCCACGCCGUAAACGAUGUCGACUUGGAGGUUGUGCCCUUGAGGCGUGGCUUCCGGAGCUAACGCGUUAAGUCGACCGCCUGGGGAGUACGGCCGCAAGGUUAAAACUCAAAUGAAUUGACGGGGGCCCGCACAAGCGGUGGAGCAUGUGGUUUAAUUCGAUGCAACGCGAAGAACCUUACCUACUCUUGACAUCCAGAGAACUUAGCAGAGAUGCUUUGGUGCCUUCGGGAACUCUGAGACAGGUGCUGCAUGGCUGUCGUCAGCUCGUGUUGUGAAAUGUUGGGUUAAGUCCCGCAACGAGCGCAACCCUUAUCCUUUGUUGCCAGCGGUUAGGCCGGGAACUCAAAGGAGACUGCCAGUGAUAAACUGGAGGAAGGUGGGGAUGACGUCAAGUCAUCAUGGCCCUUACGAGUAGGGCUACACACGUGCUACAAUGGCGCAUACAAAGAGAAGCGACCUCGCGAGAGCAAGCGGACCUCAUAAAGUGCGUCGUAGUCCGGAUUGGAGUCUGCAACUCGACUCCAUGAAGUCGGAAUCGCUAGUAAUCGUGGAUCAGAAUGCCACGGUGAAUACGUUCCCGGGCCUUGUACACACCGCCCGUCACACCAUGGGAGUGGGUUGCAAAAGAAGUAGGUAGCUUAACCUUCGGGAGGGCGCUUACCACUUUGUGAUUCAUGACUGGGGUGAAGUCGUAACAAGGUAACCGUAGGGGAACCUGCGGUUGGAUCACCUCCUUACCUUAAAGAA
rnacentral:rRNA from 1 species